AGAAUUAAAUGAAUAUUCAGUCAAUACGGACCUCUCAGCUUUACACUUGGAAAUAUUAAAAAGAUAAAAUGGCAGUAUACAAGAUUGCAUUGGCCGUUGCUAUGCUGGUAGCACUGACCGCAGCCCAGCGACCAUUCUACGCUGGUCUACGCCCCAUUGGAGUUCCAUACGUGGAAACAGAAAGCAUUUCAAACAGAUUCGGGGAAGACGCCGAUCAACCCAUAGAUGCUAAGGGUGACGCUAACUUGAUCAACCGAAUCAACCAAAUGCCGAUAGAUCAACAACCAUUCUGGUACUUAAACUGGAGAUUCUACGACGCUCAGAGGAAGAAUCCUCAAACCUACCCCCAAAGACCAAGUCAGUUUGCUGGAAACCAAUAAGUGUUACAAAAUUUGCAGUUAAUCGAAGAAGUAUUAAUGAAAUUCCAAAGCCAUAACGUAUGUUUAGAGUACAAAUUGCGAUUUAAUUAGAACCUAAAUUACAGUGUUUUCUAUUCAGAGAUAUUAGAACCGUAAAUCCAUCAGAGGUACGAGUAUGUGAGUACUCUUUUAGUUCACUGAGCAUUGCUCCUUAUAUUAUUAAGUGUUCAUAAGUGUUUAGCAUCCUGAGGUACAUUUUUUUAAACACAGAAACCCGGUGGUUAUUCUUUGAUAUAGAAAUUAACAUGGCGGUGCUCAAAUAGUUUUGAUCGUAUGAGAAAUUUUUCACGCACGUCUGUAACAGGAUUUUUGCAAAUCUGUCAUCUUUUUACAAUGCUAUUUAAUUCGAGUAUCUUUGAAUAGAUAAUAACUAAAUUGUAAUCAGCAAAUUAUGACUGACUAAUUUAUUUAAUGAUGAACAAUUGAUGCUCAUAACAGCAUAUUGGAUUAUGUGAACAAAAAAUUAACUUGUAUUAUUAGUAGCUAGACGUUUUAAAUAUAAUUUUCAUUCUUGCCUGUGAUAGUCAUAUGUAUAUUGGUCUUAAAUUGACUUUACACAAGUCUUUAAACAGUUGACACAUCAAGUAUUCUCCCUUUUCCACUUUAACACUAGGUGAGGGGUGGUUUUUAGACUUGUAACUAUUAUUUAUUUUAGAAAUUUGUUUAGAAGCAAAGACUAAAUAACACAGUAUUGUAGAUUUAUUUAAUUCGUGCCAUUUGCUAUUCUUAAGUGCAACUGAAACGUGUAUACUCAUAAUUUAGUAAAUAAUAAAAAAGUAUAAUGGGAUGUUUAUGUACCUAGAUGUAACUAAAUAAUGUUUGUUUGAAAUAAAUGCUUUAUGUUAA